GAUUACCAUACGCACAAUGAGGGGCCGCUGCGCUCUGCCAAUGGCCAGCGCCCAGAGCACCAGAGAGCAGGGUCCCAACUUUGGAAACCCCGCCCUGCUGCCUUUGGAUUGGAGCAAAGUUUGAGUCGGGCUGAAGAGGGUUGGAAGAGGAUUGGCACAAAAAGAAGGCGUGUCGGGGGAGAGCGGACUCCGCCCUUCUGUGAAGGCUGCUUGAACUGCCUCAGUGCAGUUGGCCGCCUCGCACUGGACGGCAGUGGCAUCUGGAGGACAAGUGAGGCUUAUUGGACGGGGGACGACAACCAGGGAAGGAGGAGGGUUGAAUAUGUGAAACAAAACAAUCUCUUGGAUAAGACCAGCUUUAUUAAUGGCUUGUUCAGCAAUCUGAAGCUCAUCAUGCUGUAGAAUCACUGUAAGUCUGCAGUACAGAUGGGGAGUGCAUUAAUGGAGAGAUGAGAGGAGCCCUUGAGUUACUUGUAAAUGGAACUGAUGCAGAGAGCCGAACCCUUUCCGCUGGAUUCUACAAAGAUCAGGCUGUUGUUUGAACUUGAAACAUAGGAUGUUCCUUAAAAGCAAGGUCCAAAUUUCAUUCUGAUAAAUGCUCAAUGGACUUACUGCAUUAUACCUGUAAACAGUUUUACAAGUAUAAUGUCAAAUGACUGAAUUAAAGCAUAAACCACACUUUGCUCAUUCAGGACUUUUCCUUUCCUGGAAAUCACCAUAAAUUUCUGCCCCUACCCCCAAGAAAUAUUUCCUGUAAUACUGGUACUUCUAUGAAGCAGGCUACAAAUUACAUACAAAUACACUUCACAAAU